rnacentral:rRNA from 1 species
GACGAACGCUGGCGGCGUGCCUAAUACAUGCAAGUUGAGCGAUGAAGAUUGGUGCUUGCACCAAUUUGAAGAGCAGCGAACGGGUGAGUAACGCGUGGGGAAUCUGCCUUUGAGCGGGGGACAACAUUUGGAAACGAAUGCUAAUACCGCAUAACAACUUUAAACAUAAGUUUUCAGUUUGAAAGAUGCAAUUGCAUCACUCAAAGAUGAUCCCGCGUUGUAUUAGCUAGUUGGUGAGGUAAAGGCUCACCAAGGCGAUGAUACAUAGCCGACCUGAGAGGGUGAUCGGCCACAGUGGGACUGAGACACGGCCCAAACUCCUACGGGAGGCAGCAGUAGGGAAUCUUCGGCAAUGGACGAAAGUCUGACCGAGCAACGCCGCGUGAGUGAAGAAGGUUUUCGGAUCGUAAAACUCUGUUGGUAGAGAAGAACGUUGGUGAGAGUGGAAAGCUCAUCAAGUGACGGUAACUACCCAGAAAGGGACGGCUAACUACGUG